rnacentral:rRNA from 1 species
AUUGAACGCUGGCGGCAGGCUUAACACAUGCAAGUCGAGCGGAGAUGAGGUGCUUGCACCUUAUCUUAGCGGCGGACGGGUGAGUAAUGCUUAGGAAUCUGCCUAUUAGUGGGGGACAACAUUCCGAAAGGAAUGCUAAUACCGCAUACGCCCUACGGGGCAAAGCAGGGGACCUUCGGACCUCGCGCUAAUAGAUGAGCCUAAGUCGGAUUAGCUAGUUGGUGGGGUAAAGGCCUACCAAGGCGACGAUCUGUAGCGGGUCUGAGAGGAUGAUCCGCCACACUGGGACUGAGACACGGCCCAGACUCCUACGGGAGGCAGCCGUGGGGAAUAUUGGACAAUGGGCGGAAGCCUGAUCCAGCCAUGCCGCGUUUGUGAAGAAGGCCUUUUGGUUGUAAAGCACUUUAAGCGAGGAGGAGGCUACCUGGAUUAAUACUCUAGGAUAGUGGACGUUACUCGCAGAAUAAGCACCGGCUAACUCUGUGCCAGCCGCCGCAGUAAGAC